UAGGGAAUCUUCCACAAUGGACGCAAGUCUGAUGGAGCAACGCCGCGUGAGUGAAGAAGGUUUUCGGACCGUAAAGCUCUGUUGUUGGUGAAGAAGGAUAGAGGUAGUAACUGGCCUUUAUUUGACGGUAAUCAACCAGAAAGUCACGGCUAACUACGUGCCAGCAGCCGCGGUAAUACGUAGGUGGUAAGCGUUGUCCGGAUUUAUUGGGCGUAAAGCGAGCGCAG
rnacentral:rRNA from 1 species